GAAAGCCGUAUGAGGGAAAACCUCACGUACGGUUUGAUGAGGGGAAGCUGAGAGUAAAAGAGACAGCAUAGGCUGUCCCUUUGAAAACAGUUUUCUACUCUAC
rfam:Aeribacillus pallidus strain 8m3 NODE_6, whole genome shotgun sequence.